CCUACGGGAGGCAGCAGUGGGGGAUAUUGCACAAUGGGGGGAACCCUGAUGCAGCGACGCCGCGUGGGUGAAGAAGCGCCUCGGCGCGUAAAGCCCUGUCAGCAGGGAAGAAAAUGACGGUACCUGAAGAAGAAGCCCCGGCUAACUACGUGCCAGCAGCCGCGGUAAUACGUAGGGGGCAAGCGUUAUCCGGAUUUACUGGGUGUAAAGGGGGCGCAGAUGGCGAUGCAAGCCAAGAGUGAAAGCCCUGGGCCCAGCCCCGGGACUGCUCUUGGAACUGCGUGGCUGGAGUGCAGGAGUGGAAGGGGGAAUUCCUGGUGUAGCGGUGAAAUGCGUAGAUAUCAGG
rnacentral:rRNA from 1 species